UACAGAGGUCCCAAGCGUUGUUCGGAUUCACUGGGCGUAAAGGGCGCGUAGGUGGUUGCGUAAGUGAGAUGUGAAAGCCCCGGGCUUAACCUGGGAACUGCAUCUUAUACUGCGUAGCUGGAGUGAAGUAGAGGGUAGUGGAAUUUCCGGUGUAGCGGUGAAAUGCGUAGAUAUCGGAAGGAACACCAGUGGCGAAGGCGGCUACCUGGACUUAAACUGACACUGAGGCGCGAAAGCGUGGGUAGCAAACAGG
rnacentral:rRNA from 1 species